rnacentral:rRNA from 1 species
CGCAGCCGCGGUAAUUCCAGCUCCAAUAGCGUAUAUUAAAGUUGUUGCGGUUAAAAAGCUCGUAGUUGAAUUUCGGGGUCAGUAGGUUGGUCAUGCCACUGGUAUGUACUGGCCUCACUGAUUCCUCCUUCCUGAUGAGCCGUAAUGCCAUUAAUUUGGUGUUGCGAGGAAUCUGGACUGUUACUUUGAAAAAUUAGAGUGUUUAAAGCAGGCUAACGCUUGAAUACAUUAGCAUGGAAUAAUGAAAUAGGACGUUCGAUCUUAUUUUGUUGGUUUCUAAGAUUGACGUAAUGAUUAAUAGGGAUAGUUGGGGGCAUUAGUAUUCAAUUGUCGGAGGUGAAAUUCUUGGAUUUAUUGAAGACUAACUACUGCGAAAGCAUUUGCCAAGGAUGUUUUCAUUAAUCAAGAACGAAAGUUAGGGGAUCGAAGACGAUCAGAUACCGUCGUAGUCUUAACCAUAAACUAUGCCGACUAGGGAUCGGAUGAUGUUAAUUUUUAAUGACUCAUUCGGCGCCUUAAC